rnacentral:rRNA from 1 species
AGCGUAGACGGCAGCGUAAGUCUGAAGUGAAAGCCCGGGGCUCAACCCCGGAAUGGCUUUGGAAACUGCGCGGCUAGAGUACCGGAGGGGUAAGCGGAAUUCCUAGUGUAGCGGUGAAAUGCGUAGAUAUUAGGAGGAACACCAGUGGCGAAGGCGGCUUACUGGACGGUAACUGACGUUGAGGCUCGAAAGCGUGGGGAGCAAACA